UAAGUGUGUUUGCUACGGAAUUGGGAAGUUUGCUUCAUGUCUAAUAGCUCGCAAUCAACUAGCUUUUUUACUUCUCUUUCUGGAGAAGUUACAGGUAAGGACAAUAAGGGAUAUUGGUAAAGGAAAUCGAAGGAAAUCAAAAUGGCUCUGUAGCAUCUCUUUUUUCUUUCUUGUGCAGAUUCCCAGAAAUCACUGCUAUAUAUUUGAUCCUCUCUUUAAUGAAGUUGAAAUUUCAGUUCUUAACACCCUCGGUCUGACUGUUCUCGAGGAGAACGAGGUAAGAUUUUCAGAGUAAGAAUGUGCCAGGAGAAGCUUAGCAUAGAUCUUCUAACCUCUGAAAGGAUGACUUUCAAACACCCUGGUGGAGCUCUCCACACUCAGGCCAGAUCCCAGAUAGUUUCUGACCAGAAGUGUCAGGUUCUGCUGUGCUAGCACAGCCUUCACAAACUCAAGGUCCCCUCCGUACCACCAGGAGAAUUCAAAGGACCUUAGUGGUGAGUGGGGAUGCUUCUCAGUCUUCUAGGUACUUUGUAUGUACUUAUACCAAGGCUAAGCAUGUGGUGACUUCCCAGUGCCCCCACCAAGCGUUUAGUGGCCCAAGGUUCUAUUUGCAUUUGAUCCCACUGAACUGAUGUCAGUGGUGGGCUCACAUGAGUAGCUUUUGUUGAAUUUGAGUGGAGCGGUCUCUCUGGAGCCUAGCAACCUGCAUUCUGCCAGUGACAUCGUUGCCAAAUUUGUCCAUAGGAAGGAAAACACAGUAUUUACAGUGAACCCACCAUUUUUUACAUGAUCCACUGCGGAACGGCUUUGUAUAACAAUCUGUUAUGGAGUAACUGGUCAGUCAACUCCCUUUCCAAGAUGAUGAUCAUUGGAAAUAGUUUCAAAGGAAUUGAAGGAAAGUAAGUACCUGAAAUAAUCCACGUAAGGUUUAAGUUAAAAGUUCGUUUUGAACAUUUUCAGAUCACCCUGGGUUGAUUUAAAGCAUUCCCACCUUCCCACCCCUGGCCUUCUGUUACUUCCUUCCUAGAAUUAGUGUUACAAAGGCAAACCAAGAAAAUGAGCCCCAGAGGUUUUGGUGAAGAUGAGAUAAAACAUGAGGGAAUUAGAGAAUCCACAUCAAGUAAAAUGGCCCUUGUUACAACGAGCGCUUGCUUCCCUUUGGAUAAUCUGUAUAUGGUUUAAACAGCCCUACAGUCUGGCUCUGAGGUUACAGCUACAUACAUUGGAUCAGUACCUUCUUGGCUCAUAAUAACUCUUCUUCCUAAGCGAUAAAAUCCUGAAGCAUUAGUACAAGAAGGCUAGAAAACUGCAGAAAGGCAAAUUUAGGCUUGACAAAAGGAAAACCAAUAAAGAGCCAUCCCAGAGUCAAAUGGGCUGCCUGGGAAGCUGGUGAGCUUCUCCCACCUUCCUGCAAGUCUUCAGGUAGAGGCUGGAGGAACAGCCACUGGUUGGAGACAUCGCAGAAGGAAUCCUGUCAGGUCUGGUUCAGCCACUUGGCCUCUGAUGUCCUUUCAGGUCUGAGAUUGUUAGCUUUGAGAUCUUCUGGCCUGCCUUCCGCCUGGCAGGUUUGAAGGUGUUUUCCCUUUCCAGCAACUCUUCCUCAUUUUAGGAAGUUCCGCCUUCAGUUUAGACAGUCCUCUUGUCCAUUUAUUCUGUCUCACUUCUUAAUCAUGGUUUUUAUUUCUAGGUUAUUAACAAGGAUUCUACAGAAAGAUUACCCCUAUGUGGCAAAGACUCGCCUAAGGUCACACAGCCGGGGACAAGAGACAGGAUUCUGAACCACGUGUCCACGAUGGGACCCAGGACAGCAGGAGCAAGCUUUGGAGCAGGAAGGGUCCCUGUCUAUGGAGCGGUGAAAGAAGAGCCCAUCUGGCUAGUCUCUGCCCUCCUUCCUCUCUGGAGGCCGUGAAUAACGAGGCGGUCCAGCUUGGGGAC